rnacentral:misc_RNA from 1 species
CGCACAUUGCGCCCUUUGGUAUUCCGAAGGGCAUGCCUGUUCGAGCGUCAUUUCAAACCCUCAAGCACCGCUUGGUCUUGGGCGCCGGUCCGGCGAGGACCCGCCCGUAACCCGUUGGCGGGACCGUCCGGCUCUAAGCGUAGCAAGAAUCUUCCCUCGCUUCGGAGCUCUAGGCGGCCCCCACCAUGGAAGCACCUAAAUUUCAAAGUUUGACCUCGGAUCAGGUAGGGAUACCCGCUGAACUUAA